rnacentral:rRNA from 1 species
UACGUAGGGGGCAAGCGUUGUCCGGAAUCAUUGGGCGUAAAGCGCGCGUAGGUGGCCUCAUAAGUCCGCUGUGAAAGUCAAAGGCUCAACCUUUGAAAGCCGGUGGAUACUGUGAGGCUAGAGUACGGAAGAGGCGAGUGGAAUUCCUGGUGUAGCGGUGGAAUGCGCAGAGAUCGGGAGGAACACCAGAGGCGAAGGCGGCGACCUGGACAAGUACUGACACUCAACUACGAAAGCGUGGGGAGCAAACAGG